AAGUGAUGAGGAAACAAAUAGUCUUACUGUAUAAGUGAAGACAUCAGAUCCAACUCUGAUCUUGCUCUGAGG
rnacentral:snoRNA from 1 species